GCCUGCCCAGUGAUAUUUUUAAACGGCCGCGGUAUCCUAACCGUGCAAAGGUAGCAUAAUCACUUGUCCCCUAAAUAGGGACUAGUAUGAACGGCUAAAUGAGGACCUUACUGUCUCUUGCCGCCAGUCAAUGAAACUGAUCUCCCAGUCCAAAAGCUGGAAUAACACCAUAAGACAAAAAGACCCUGUGGAGCUUUAAAACCAAAACCAUUAAUAACUGUCCACUUGGUUUUUAGUUGGGGCGACUUCGGAGCAAAAACAAACCUCCGAAACAAUGGACCUCACCAUAUCAAGGCCAACACGCCAAAAUAGCCUAAAACUUGACCCAGAUCUUAAUUUCUGACCAAUGAACCAAGUUACCCCAGGGAUAACAGCGCCAUCUUCUUUUAGAGUCCAUAUCGACAAGAAGGUUUACGACCUCGAUGUUGGAUCAGGACACCCCAAUAGUGCAGCCGCUAUUAAAGGUUCGUUUGUUCAACGAUUAACAGUCCUACGUGAUCUGAGU
rnacentral:rRNA from 1 species